GAUCAUGGCUCAGGACGAACGCUGGCGGCGUGCUUAACACAUGCAAGUCGAACGAGAAUCUAAUGACGGAGUUUCGGACAACUGAUUUAGAGGACAGUGGCGGACUGGUGAGUAACGCGUGAGGAAACCUGCCUUUCAGAGGGGGACAACAGUUGGAAACGACUGCUAAUACCGCAUGACGCAUUUUGAUCGCAUGGUCGAAAUGCCAAAGAUUUAUCGCUGAAAGAUGGCCUCGCGUCUGAUUAGAUAGUUGGUGGGGGUUAAACGGCCCACCAAGUCGACGAUCAGUAGCCGGACUGAGAGGUUGACCGGCCACAUUGGAACUGAGACACGGCCCAGACUCCUACGGGAGGCAGCAGUGGGGAAUAUUGCACAAUGGGGGAAACCCUGAUGCAGCGAUGCCGCGUGGAGGAAGAAGGUUUUCGGAUUGUAAACUCCUGUCUUAAAGGACGAUAAUGACGGUACUUUAGGAGGAAGCUCCGGCUAACUACGUG
rnacentral:rRNA from 1 species